rnacentral:rRNA from 1 species
GACGAACGCUGGCGGCGUGCUUAACACAUGCAAGUCGAACGGAAAGGCCCCUUUGGGGGUACUCGAGUGGCGAACGGGUGAGUAACACGUGAGUAACCUGCCCUUGACUUCGGGAUAACUUCAGGAAACUGGGGCUAAUACCGGAUAGGAAUCCUUGCUGCAUGGUGGGGGUUGGAAAGCUUCGGCGGUUUUGGAUGGGCUCGCGGCUUAUCAGCUUGUUGGUGGGGUAGUGGCUUACCAAGGCUUUGACGGGUAGCCGGCCUGAGAGGGCGACCGGCCACAUUGGGACUGAGAUACGGCCCAGACUCCUACGGGAGGCAGCAGUGGGGAAUAUUGCACAAUGGGCGGAAGCCUGAUGCAGCAACGCCGCGUGCGGGAUGACGGCCUUCGGGUUGUAAACCGCUUUCAGCAGGGGCGAAGCUUGUGGUGACGGUACCUGCAGAAGAAGCACCGGCUAACUACGUG